rnacentral:tRNA from 2 species
GGGCGAUUAGCUCAGUGGGAGAGCGCUUCCUUCACACGGAAGAGGUCGCAGGUUCAAUCCCUGCAUCGCCCA